rnacentral:rRNA from 1 species
CCUACGGGAGGCAGCAGUGGGGAAUAUUGCUCAAUGGGGGAAACCCUGAAGCAGCAACGCCGCGUGGAGGAUGAAGGUUUUCGGAUUGUAAACCUCUUUUGUUAGAGAAGAAAAUGACGGUAUCUAACGAAUAAGCACCGGCUAACUCCGUGCCAGCAGCCGCGGUAAUACGGAGGGUGCAAGCGUUACUCGGAAUCACUGGGCGUAAAGAGAGCGUAGGCGGGAUGGCAAGUCAGAUGUGAAAUCCUAUGGCUUAACCGUAGAACUGCAUUUGAAACUGUUAUUCUAGAGUAGGGGAGAGGUAGGUGGAAUUAGUGGUGUAGGGGUAAAAUCCGUAGAGAUCAAGAGGAAGACUCAUUGCGAAGGCGACCUGCUAGAACAUAACUGACGCUGAUGCGCGAAAGCGUGGGGAGCAAACAGGAUUAGAUACCCUUGUAGUC